rfam:Cavia porcellus supercont2_126 genomic scaffold, whole genome shotgun sequence.
GUCCUCCUGCUCCUGAGCAUGGUGAUUGGGCGUUUACCUUGCAUGCAUAACGUGUACCACCCUUGAGCCUUGCGACAAGUUCAGCGCAUUAUCCCUCUGACU